rnacentral:lncRNA from 1 species
UUUCCUAAAUGUCCAUUUCAAUAUUUCUGUUAAUGUUAAUGAUAAACUUUUACCUCAGUUGUGACAUUUAAAGCCAAAGUAAAGUAAUCCUGGGACUGUGGAUUUUUGUAGGCUUCCAAAAAUUGUCGAUUCAUCCGGAACUGUAGAAUAAGUACACCUUCAUUUGACGUUGGAGGGUCAGUGGAUGCGGUGGUUGGGGAAACAGUAGUUGUUGGAGCAAGAGUUUUUGUUGUUGAUGGUGAAGCUGUGGUCGUUGUGGGAGCGGCAUUGGUAGUUGUAGGGGCAAUGGUGGUUGUUGUGGAGUUAGAUGUAGUUGUGGUAGCGCCAGCUGUGCUGGUAGUUACAGCAGCUGUUGUCCUUGUGGCAAAAGCUGCUGUUGUUGUUGUGGUGGCAGUUGUAGUUGUAGUGGGAACAACUAUUGUUAUUGUAGCAGCAGCUGUAGUUGAUGUGGGGGCAGCUCUAAUUGUUGAGUGAGCCACUGUUGUUGUGGGAGCAGGAGCUGAAGUUGUUGUUGCUGCUGCGGUUGUUGUGGUUGCGGCAGUGGUUAAAGUGGGAUAAGCUGUGAUUGUUGUGGCAGCUGCUGUGGUUAUUGUGGUAGCAGCUGGGGUUGUUUUGGGGGUGACAUUGGUGGUCGUUGCAGCAACUGUGGUUGUCGACGGGUAAGCUGGGGUUGUAGUGGCAGCCGCUGUUGUUGACAUUGGUACUGCUGUGGUUGAAGUUGGUACUGCUGUGGUUGUUAAAUGGGCAGCUGUGGUUGUUGUUGGAGCAACUGUAGUUGUUGUGGGGUUGGCUGUUGUUGUCAUAGCACCAGCUGUGGAUGUUGUAAGGGAAGCUGUUGUGGUUGUGGUUGCUGUAGUUUUGGGAUAAGUUGUUGUUGUUGUGGGAGAAGUUGUGGUUGUUGUGGUCGAAGCUGUUGUUGUUGUGAUAGAAGCUGUUGUUGUAGCAGCAGCUGUGAUUGUGGUUGGAGCAGGUGUGGUUGUUGUGGGUGCAGCUGUACUUGUUGUAGCUGCAGCUAUUGUGGUUGUUCUGAGAGCGUCUGUGGUUGAUGUGGACAGGGCUUCGAAUGUUGUAGCCUCUGUGGUUGUUGUGGGAGCAGAUAUGGUCGUUGUUGGAGUAGAUGGUGUGGUGGGAGAAGCUGUGGUUGUUGUGGGUGCAGCUGUGGUAGAUGUGGGGUAAGCUGUGGUUGUUGUGGGAGUAGAUGUUGUGGUGGGAGAAGCUGUGUUUGUGGAUGCAGCUGUGAUUGUUGUUGCCACAACUGUGCUUGUUGAAGCUGUAGAUGUUAUUGGUGUUGCUGUUGACAUUGUGGGAACAGCUGUGAUUCUUGUGGGAGAUGCUGUGGAUGUUGUGGGAGCCGCUGUGGUAGUUGUGGGGUAAGCUGUGGUUGUUGUGGGAGUAGAUGUUGUGGUGGGAGAAGCUGUGUUUGCGGAUGCAGCUGUGAUUGUUGUUGCCACAGCUGUGCUUGUUGAAGCUGUAGAUGGUAUUGGUGUUGCUGUUGACAUUGUGGGAACAGCUGUGGUUGUUGUAAGUGAAUCUGUUGUGGUUGUGGGAGAAGUUGUGGUUGUCUUGGGUUUAGUUGUGGUUGUGGUAGGGCCAGCAGUGGUUACAUCAGCUGUUGUUAUUGCUAUGGGAGCUGUUGUAGUGGGAGCCGCUGUGGUUGUAGUGGGAGCCGCUGUGGUUAUAGUGGGAGCCGCUGUGGUUGUAGUGGGAGCCGCUGUGGUUUUAGUGGGAGCCGCUAUGGUUGUAGUGGGAGCCACUAUGGUUGUAGUGGGAGCCAUUGUGGUUGUAGUGGGAGCAGCUGUGGUAGUAGUGGGAGAAUCUAUUGUUAUGCUAGCAGUUGUGGUUGUUGUGGGAGAAGCUGAGUAUGUUGUGAGCGUAGCUGUGGUUGUUGUUGCCUCAGCUUUUGUUGUAGCAGCAACUGUGGUUGUUGUGGGAGUAGAUGUGGUCGUCGUUGGAGUAGAUGGUGUGGUGGGAGAAGCUGUGUUUGCGGAUGCAGCUGUGAUUGUUGUUGCCACAGCUGUGGUUGUUGAAGCUGUAGAUGUUAUUGGUGUUGCUGUUGCCAUUGUGGGAACAGCUGUGGUUGUUGUAAGGGAACCUGUUGUGGUUGUGGGAGAAGUUGUGGUGGUUUUGGGGUUAGCUGUGGUUAUGAUAGGGCCAGCAGUGGUGGUUGUUACAUCAGCUGUUGUUAUUGCUAUGGGAGCUGUUGUAGUGGGAGCCGCUGUGGUUGUAGCGGGAGCCGCUGUGGUUGUAGUGGGAGCAGCUGUGGUUGUAGUGGGAGCCACUAUGGUUGAAGUGGGAGCCCCUGUGGUUGUAGUGGGAGCCGCUGUGGUUGUAGUGGGUGCUGCUGUACUUGUUGUAGCUGCAGCUGUGGAUGUAGUGGGAGCAGCUGUGGUUGUUGUGGUAAAAUCUGUGGUUGUUGUGGUCAAAACUGUUGUUGUUGUGAUCGAAGCUGUUGUUGUAGCUGCAGCUGUGAUUGUGGUUGGAGUGGGUGUUGUUGUUGUGGUUGCAGAUGUACUUGUUGUAGCUGCAGCUGUGGUUGUAUUGGGGGAAGCUGUGGUUGAAGUAAGGGAAACUGUUGUGGUUGUGGGAGCAGCUGUAGUUGUUGUAACAUCAGCAGGGGUUGUUGUAGGAGACGCUGUGGUUGUUGUAACAUCAGGUGUUGUUGUUGUGGGAGCCACUGUGGUUGUUGUGGGAGUCGCUGCGGUUGAUGUGGGAGCCGCUGUGGUUGUUGUGGUAGAAGCUGUGGUUGUUGUGAUAGAAGCUGUUGUUGUAGCAGCAUCUGUAAUUGUGGUUGGAGCAGGUGUGGUUGUUGUGGGUGCAGCUGUACUUGUUGUAGCUGCAGCUGUGGUUGUUGUGGGUGCAGCUGUGGUUGCAUUGGGGGAAGCUGUGGUUGUAGUAAGGGAAACUGUUGUGGUUGUGGGAGCUGCUGUAGUUAUGGGAGAAGUUGUGGUUUUUGUGGGUGCAAUUGUGGUUGUUCUGAGAGUGUCUGUGGUUGAUGUGGACAGGGCUUCAAAUGUUGUAGCCUCAGCUUUUGUUGUAGUAGCAACUGUGGUCGUUGUUGGAGUAGAUGUUGUGGUGGGAGAAGCUGUGUUUGUGGAUGCAGCUGUGAUUGUUGAAUCCACAGCUGUGCUUGUUGAAGCUGUAGAUGUUAUUGGUGAUGUUGUUGACAUUGUGGGAUCAGUUGUGGUUGUUGUAAGGGAAGCUGUUGUGGUUGUGGGAGAAGUUGUGGUUGUUUUGGGGUUAGCUGUAGUUGUGGUAGGGGCAGCAGUGGUGGUUGUUACAUCAGCUUUUGUUGUUGCUAUGGGAGCUGUUGCAGUGGGAGCCGCUGUGGUUGUUGUGGGAGUCGCUGUGGUUGUUGUGGGAGCCGCUGUUGUUGUUGUAACACCAGCUGUGGUUGUUGUGGGAGACGCUGUGGUUGUUGUGGGAUCCACUGUGGUUGAUGUGGGGUAAGCUGUGGUUGUUGUGGGAGCAGCUUUGGUCGUUGUGGUCGAAGCUGUUAUUGAUGUAUUAGAAGCUGUUGUUGUAGCAGCAGCUGGGAUUGUGGUUGGAGCAAGUGUGGCUGUUGUGGGUGCAGCUGUACUUGUAGCUGCAGCUGUGGUUGUUUUGGGGGAAGCUGUGUUUAAAGUAAGGGAAGCUGAUGUGUUUGUGGGAGCAGCUGUAGUUAUGGGAGCAGCUGUGGUUUUUAUGGGUGCAUCUGUGGUUGUUGUGGGAGCUGCUGUGGUUGAUGUGGACAGGGCUUCGAAUGUUGUAGCCUCAGCUUUUUUUGUAGCAGCAACUGUGGUUGUUGUGGGAGCAGAUGUGGUCGUUGUUGGAGUAGAUGUUGUGGUGGGAGAAGCUGUGGUUGUUGUGGGUGCAGCUGUGAUUGCUGUAGCCACAGCUGUGCUCAUUGAAGCCACAUCCGUAGACAUCAUUGGUGCUGCUGUGAUCGUUGUCGGACCAGCUGUAGAUGUUGUAAGGGAAGCUGUUGUGGUUGUGUGGGAUGCUGUAGUUUUGGGAUAAGUUGUGGUUGUUGGGGGAGCAGCAGUGGUUGUUGUGGGAGACACUGUGGUUGUUGUAACAUCAGCUGUGGUUGUUGUGGGAGCCACUGUGGUUGUUGUGGGAGCUGUUGUGGUUGAUCUGGACAGGGCUUCGAAUGUUGUAGCCUCAGCUUUUGUUGUAGCAGCAACUGUGGUUGUUGUGGGAGCAGAUGUGGUCGUUGUUGGAGUAGAUGUUGUGGUGGGAGAAGCUGUGGUUGUUGUGGCCGAAUUUGUUGUGAUAGAAGCUGUUGUUGUAGCAGCAUCUGUAACUGUGGUUGGAGCAGGUGUGGUUGUUGUGGGUGCAGCUGUACUUGUUGUAGCUGCAGCUGUGGUUGAAUUGGGGGAAGCUGCGGUUGUAGUAAGGGAAACUGUUGUGAGAUCUUCUUUAGUUAUGGGAGCAUUUGUGGUUUUUGUGGGUGCAAUUGUGGUUGUUGUGAGAGCUGCUGUGGUUGAUGUGGACAGGAUUUCGAAUGUUGUAGCCUCAGCUUUUGUUGUAGCAGCCACUGUGGUUGUUGUAGGUGCAGAUGUGGUAGUUGUUGGAGUAGAUGUUGUGGUGGGAGAAGCUGUGGUUGUUGUGGGUGCAGCUGUGACUGCUGUAGCCACAGCUGUGCUCGUUGAAGCCGCAUCCGUAGACAUCAUUGGUGCUGCUGUGAUCGUUGUCCAACCAGCUGUUGAUGUUGUAAAGGAAGCUGUUGUGGUUGUGGGAGAUGCUGUAGUUUUGGGAUAAGUUGUGGUUGUUGUGGGAGCAGCUGUGGUUGCUGUGGGAGACACUGUGGUUGUUGUGGGAGACGCUGUGGUUGUUGUUGGAGCAGCUGUGGUUGUUGUGGGAGACGCUGUGGUUGUUGUAACAUAAGCUGUGGUUGUUGUGGGAGCCGCUGUGGUUGUUGUGGGAGCCGCUGUGGUUGUUGUGGGAGCUGCUGUGGUUGAUGUGGAGAGGGCUUCGAAUGUUGUAGCCUCAGAUUUUGUUGUAGCAGCAACUGUGGUUGUUGUGGGAGCAGAUGUGGUCACUGUUGGAGUAGAUGUUGUGGUGGGAGAAGCUGUGGUUGUUGUGGGUGCAGCUGUGAUUAUUGUGGGAGACACUGUGGUUGUUGUAACAUCAGCUGUGGUUGUUGUGGGAGCUGCAUUGGUUGUUGUAACAUCAGCAGUGGUUGUUGUUGGAGCAGCUGUGGUUGUUGUGGGAGACGCUGUGGUUGUUGUAAAAUCAGCUGUUGUGGUUGUGGGAGAUGCUGUAGUUUUGGGAUAAGUUGUGGUUGUUGUUGGAGCAGCUGUGGUCGUUGUGGGAGACACUGUGGUUGUUGUAACAUCAGCUGUGGUUGUUGUGGGAGCAGCUGUGGUUGUUAUGGGAGAUGCUGUGGUUGUUGUAACAUCAGCAGUGGUUGUUGUGGGAGACGCUGUGGUUGUUGUAACAUCAGCAGUGGUUGUUGUUGGAGCAGCUGUGGUUGUUGUGGGAGACGCUGUGGUUGUUGUAAAAUCAGCUGUUGUGGUUGUGGGAGAUGCUGUAGUUUUGGGAUAAGUUGUGGUUGUUGUUGGAGCAGCUGUGGUCGUUGUGGGAGACACUGUGGUUGUUGUAACAUCAGCUGUGGUUGUUGUGGGAGCAGCUGUGGUUGUUAUGGGAGAUGCUGUGGUUGUUGUAACAUCAGCAGUGGUUGUUGUGGGAGACGCUGUGGUUGUUGUGGGAGCUGCUGUGGUUGAUGUGGACAGGGCUUCGAAUGUUGUAGCCUCAGCUUUUGUUGUAGCAGCAAUUGUGGUUGUUGUAAGGGAAGCAGUUGUGGUUGUGGGAGAAGUUGUGGUUGUUUUGGGGUUAGCUGUGGUUGUGGUAGGGCCAGCAGUGGUGGUUGUUACAUCAGCUGUUGUUAUUGCUAUGGGAUCUGUUGUAGUGGGAGCAGCUGUGGUUGUAGUGGGAGCUGCUGUUGUUGUAGUGAGAGCCACUGUGGUUGUAGUGGGAGCCGCUGUGGUUGUAGUGGGAGCCGCUGUGGUUGUAGUGGGAGCCGCUGUGGUUGUAGUGGGAGACGUUGUGAUUGAAGUGGGAGCCACUGUUGUUGUAGUGGGAGCCGCUGUGAUUGUAGUGGAUGCCGCAGUGGUUGUAUUGGGAGCCGCUGUGGUUGUAGUGGGAACCGCUGUGGUCGUAGUGGGAUCCGCUGUGGUUGUUGUGGGAGCAGCUGUGGUUCUUGUGGGAGAUGCUGUGUUUGUUGUGGGAGCCACUGUGAUUGUUGUGGGAUCCGCUGUGGUUGUUGUGGGAGCAGCUGUGGUUCUUGUGGGAGAUGCUGUGUUUGUUGUGGGAGCCGCUGUGAUUGCUGUGGGAGUCGCUGUGGAUGUUGUGGGAGCCGCUGUGGCUUUAGUGGCAGCCGCUGUGGUUGUAGUGGGAGACGCUGUGGUUGUAGUGGGAGCCGCUGUGGUUGUAGUGGGAGCCACUGUGGUUGUAGUGGGAGCCGCUGUGGUUGUAGUGGGAGCCACUGUGGUUGUAGUGGGACCCGCUGAAGUUGUUGUGUUAAAAGCUGUGGUUGUUGUGGUCGAAGCUGUUGUUGUUGUGAUAGAAGCUGUUGUUGUAGCAGCAGCUGUGAUUGUGGUUGGAGCAGGUGUGGUUGUUGUGGGUGCAGCUGUACUUGUUGUAGCUGCAACUGUGGUUGUAGUGGGAGCAGCUGUGAUUAUUGUGGGAGACACUGUGGUUGUUGUAACAUCAGCUGUGGUUGUUGUGGGAGCUGCAUUGGUUGUUGUAACAUCAGCAGUGGUUGUUUUUGGAGCAGCUGUGGUUGUUGUGGGAGACGCUGUGGUUGUUGUAACAUCAGCUGUGGUUGUUGUGGGAGCAGCUGUGGUUGUUGUGGGAGUUGCUGUGGUUGUUGUAACAUCAGCUGUGGUUGUUGUGGGAGCCGCUGUGGUUGUUGUGAGAGCUGCUGUGGUUGAUGUAGACAGGGCUUUGAAUGUUGUAGCCUCAGAUUUUGUUGUAGCAGCAACUGUGGUUGUUGUGGGAGCAGAUGUGGUCACUGUUGGAGUAGAUGUUGUGGUGGGAGAAGCUGUGGUUGUUGUGGGUGCAGCUGUGACUGCUGUAGCCACAGCUGUGCUCGUUGAAGCCGCAUCCGUAGACAUCAUUGGUGCUGCUGUGAUAGUUGUCGGACCAGCUGUUGAUGUUGUAAGGGAAGCUGUUGUGGUUGUGGGAGAUGCUGUAGUUUUGGGAUAAGUUGUGGUUGUUGUUGGAGCAGAUGUGGUCGUUGUGGGAGACACUGUGGUUGUUGUAACAUCAGCUGUGGUUGUUGUUGGAGCAGCUGUGGUUGUUGUGGGAGACGCUGUGGUUGUUGUAACAUCAGCUGUGGUUGUUGUGGGAGCAGCUGUGGUUGUUGUGGGAGUUGCUGUGGUUGUUGUAACAUCAGCUGUGGUUGUUGUGGGAGCCGCUGUGGUUGUUGUGAGAGCUGCUGUGGUUGAUGUAGACAGGGCUUUGAAUGUUGUAGAGUCAGAUUUUGUUGUAGCAGCAACUGUGGUUGUUGUGGGAGCAGAUGUGGUCACUGUUGGAGUAGAUGUUGUGGUGGGAGAAGUUGUGGUUGUUGUGGGUGCAGCUGUGAUUGCUGUAGCCACAGUUGUGCUCAUUGAAGCCGCAUCCGUAGACAUCAUUGGUGCUGCUGUGAUCGCUGUCGGACCAGCUGCUGAUGUAAGGAAAGCUGUUGUGGUUGUUGUUGGAGCAGCUGUGGUCGUUGUGGGAGCAGCUGUGGUUGUUGUAACAUCAGCUGUGGUUGUUGUGGGAGCAGCUGUGGUUGUUAUGGGAGACGCUGUGGUUGUUGUAACAUCAGCAGUGGUUGUUGUGGGAGCCGCUGUGGUUGUUGUGGGAGACGCUGUGGUUGUUGUGGGAGCUGCUGUGGUUGAUGUGGACAGGGCUUCGAAUGUUGUAGCCUCAGCUUUUGUUGUAGCAGCAAUUGUGGUUGUUGUAAGGGAAGCUGUUGUGGUUGUGGGAAAAGUUGUGGUUGUUUUGGGGUUAGCUGUGGUUGUGGUAGGGCCAGCAGUGGUGGUUGUUACAUCAGCUGUUGUUAUUGCUAUGGGAUCUGUUGUAGUGGGAGCAGCUGUGGUUGUAGUGGGAGCUGCUGUUGUUGUAGUGGGAGCCGCUGUGGUUGUAGUGGGACCCGCUGUGGUUGUAGUGGGAGCCGCUGUGGUUGUAGUGGGAGACGUUGUGGUUGAAGUGGGAGCCACUGUGGUUGUAGUGGGAGACGCUGUGUUUGUUGUGGGAGCCGCUGUGAUUGUUGUGGGAGUCGCUGUGGAUGUUGUGGGAGCUGCUGUGGUAGUUGUGGGGUAAGCUGUGGUUGUUGUGGGAGUAGAUGUUGUGGUGGGAGAAGCUGUGUUUAUUGAUGCAGCUGUGAUUAUUGUAGCCACAGCUGUGCUUGUUGAAACUGUAGAUGGUAUUGGUGUUGCUGUUGACAUUGUGGGAUCAGUUGUGGUUGUUGUAAGUGAAUCUGUUGUGGUUGUGGGAGAAGUUGUGGUGGUUUUGGGUUUAGUUGUGGUUGUGGUAGGGCCAGCAGUGCUGGUUGUUACAUCAGCUUUUGAUGUUGCUGAGGGAGCUGUUGUAGUGGGAGCCGCUGUGGAUUUAGUGGGAGCCGCUGUGGUUGUAGUGGGAGCCGCUGUGGUUGUAGUGGGAGCCACUGUGGUUGUAGUGGGAGCCACUGUGGUUGUAGUGGGAGCGACUGUGGUUGUAGUGGGAGCCACUGUGGUUGUAGUGGGACCCGCUGAAGUUGUUGUGGUAGAAGCUGUGGUUGUUGUCGUCGAAGCUGUUGUUGUUGUGAUAGAAGCUGUUGUUGUUGCAACAGCUGUGAUUAUGGUUGGAACAGGUGUGGUUGUUGUGGGUGCAGCUGUGGUUGUAUUGGGGGAAGCUGUGGUUGUAGUAAGGGAAACUGUUGUGGUUGUGGGAGCAGCUGUAGUUGUGGGAGCCGCUGUGGUUUUUGUGGGUGCAGCUGUGGUUGUUGUGGGAGCUGCUGUAGUUGAUGUGGACAGGGCUUCGAAUGUUGUAGCCUCAGCUUUUGUUGCAGCAGCAACUGUGGUUGUUGUGGGAGAAGAUGUGGUCGUUGUUGGAGUAGAUGUUGUGGUGGGAGAAGCUGUGGAUAUUGUGGCCGAAGCUGUUGUGAUAGAAGCUGUUGUUGUAGCAGCAUCUGUUAUUGCGGUUGGAGAAGGUGUGGUUGUUGUGGGUGCAGCUGUACUUGUUGUAGCUGCAGCUGUGGUUGUAUUGGGGGAAGCUGUGGUUGUUGUAAGGGAAGCUGUUGUGGUUGUGGGAGAGGUUGUGGUUGUUUUGGGAGCCGCCGAGGAUGUUGUCGGGUAAGAUGUGGUUGUUGUGGGAGCAGCUGUGGUUGUUGUGGGUGCAUCUGUGGUUGUUGUGUGUGCAUCUGUCGUUGUUGUGGGGAUGGCUGUGGUUGUCAGAGCUGCUGUAGGUGUUGUAGGAAUAGAUGUGGUUGUUGUGGGUGCUUCUGUGGUUGUUGUGGGUGCAGCUGUGGUUGUUAUGGCUGAAGCUGUGGUUGUUGUGGGGAUAGCUGUUGUUGUUGUGGGGAUGGCGGUGGUUUUCUGAGCUGCUGUAGUUGUUGCCGGAGAAGAUGUGGCUGUUGUGGGUGCAUUUGUGGUUGUUGUGUGUGCUUCUGUGGUUGUUGUGGGUGCAGCUGUGGUUGUUGUGGGUGCAGCUGUGGUUGAUGUGGGGCUGGCAGUGGUGGUGGUAGAGGAAGCUGUUGUGGAUGUUGUAGUUGUUGUCAGAGAAGAUGUGGUUGGUGUGUGUGCAUGUGUGGUUGUUGUGGGAGCAGCUGUGGUUGUUGUCGGGAAGGCUGUGUUUGUAGUAGCUGCAGCUAUUGUUGAUAGUGGUACAGUUGUUGUUGUUGUGGGAGCAGCUGUGGUUAUUGUGGGAUUAGCUUUGGUUGUUGUUGUAGAAGAUGUGGUUGUUAUGGCUGAAGCUGUGGUUGUUGUGGGGCUGGCUGUGGUUUUUGUGGGGAUGGCUGUGGUUGUCGCAGAUGCUGUAGUUGUUGCCGGAGAAGAUGUGGUUGUUGUGGGUGCAUCUGUGGUUGUUGUGGGGACGGUUGUUGCUGUCGGAGCUGCUAUAGGUGUUGUCGGAGAAGAUGUGGUUGUUGUGGGUGCUUCUGUGGUUGUUGUGGGUGAAGCUGUGGUUGUUGUGGGUGCAUCUGUUGUUGAUGUGGGGCUGGCUGUGGUGGUUGUCGUGGAAGCUUUUCUGGAUGUUGUAGAUUCUAUAGUUGUUGUCGGAGAAGAUGUGGUUGUUGUGGGUGCAUCUGUGGUUGUUGUGGGUGCAGCUGUGUUUGGUAUGGCUGAAGCUGUGGUUCUGGUGGGGAUAGCUGUGGUUGUUGUCUGAGAAAAUGUGGUUGUUGUGGGUGCAGCUGUGGUUGUUGUAGAAGAAGCUGUGGUUGUUGUAGAAGCUGUGGUGGUUGUAGAGGAAGCUGUUGUGGUCAUUGGAUUUGCUAUAACUGUUGUUGGAGAAAAUGUGGUUGUUGUGGGUGCAUCCGUUGUUGUUGUGUGUGCGUCUGUGGUUGUUGUGGAGAUGGCUGUGGUUGUCGGAGCCGCUGUAGGUGUUGUCGGAGAUGUGGAUGUUGUGGGUGCUUCUGUGGUUGUUGUGGGUGCUUCUGUGGUUAUUGUGGAAGAAGCUGUGGUUGAUGUGGGGCUGGCUGUGGUGGUUAAAGAGGAAGCUGUUGUGGAUGUUGUAGUUGCUGUAGUUGUUGUCAGAGAAGAUGUGGUUGUUGUGGGUGCAUCUGUGGUUGUUGUGGGUGCAUCUGUGGUUGUUGAGGGAUCAGCUUUGGUUGUUGUUGUAGAAGCUGUGGUGGUUGUAGAGAUGGCUGUUGUGGUCUUUGGAGCUGCUGUAGUUGUUGUCGGAGAAGAUGUGGUUGUUGUGUGUGCAUCUGUGGUUGUUGUAGGGACGGUUGUUGUUGUCGGAACUGCUGUAGGUGUUGUCGGAAAAGAGGUGGUUGAUGUCUGUGCAUCUGUGGUUGUUGUGGGGAUGACUGUGGUUGUUGGAGCUGCUGUAGGUGUUGUCGGAGAAGAUGUGGUUGUUGUGGGUGCAUCUGUGGUUAUUGUGGGAUCAGCUUUGAUUGUUGUUUUAGAAGCUGUGGUUGUUGUUGUAGAGGAAGCUGCUGUGGUCAUUGGAGCUGCUGUAGUUGCUGUUGGAGAAGAUGUGGUUGUUGUGGGUUCAUCUCUGUUUGUUGUGGGUGCAGCUGUGGUUGUUGUGGGUGCAGCUGUGAUUGUUGUUGUAGCAGCUGUGGUUGUUGUGGGAGCAGCAGUGGUUGUUGUGGGGUUUGCAGUAGUUGUUGUGGGAGCUGCUGUAGUAGGUGUCAGAGAAAAUGUGGAUGGGGGUUGUGCAUCUGUGGUUGUUGUGUGUGCAUCUGUGGUUCUUUUCGAGAUGGCUGUGGUUGUCGGAGCUGCUGAAGGUGUUGUCGGAGAAGAUGUGGUUGUUGUGGGUGCAUCUGUGGUUGUUGUGUGUGCAUCUGUGGUUGUUGUGUGAACAGCUGUGGUUGAUGUGGGGCUGGUGGUGGUGGUUGAAGAGGAAGCUGUUGUGGUCGUUGGAGCUGCUGUAGUGAUUUUCGGAGAAGAUGUGGUUGAUGUGUGAGAUGCUGUAGUUGUUGUGGGGAUGGCGGUGGAUGUCGAAGCUGCUUUAGUUGUUGUGUGUGCAUCUGUGGUUGUUGUGUCUGCUUCAGUGGUUGUGGGGAUGGCUGUGGUUGUUGUGUGUGCAUCUGUGGUUGUUGUGGGGAUGGCUGUGGUUGAUGUGGGUGCAGCUCUGGUUGAUGUGGGGCUGGCUGUGGUGGUUGAAGAGGAAGCUGUUGUAGAUGUUGUAGAUGCUGUAGUUGUUGUCGGAGAAGAUGUGGUUGUUGUGGUUGCAUCUGUGGUUGUUGUGGGUGCAUCUGUGGUUGUUGUUGGUGCAUCUGUGGUUGUUGUGUGUCCGUCUGUGGUUGUGGGGAUGGCUGUGGUUGUCGGAGAUGCUGUAGGUGUUGUCGGAGAAGAUGUGGUUGUUGGGGCUGCUUCUGCUGUUGAU